GAGCAAUAUACCUUUUUCCUGCUUCUUCCAAUCCCCGCGUUUCUCUCUCUUUCUCUAGUUUCUGUGUUUUUGCUUGGUGGGUUUGGUCUCAAUUUUAGCUUCAAACAUUGGCUGCAACUUACUAACUUUGGUAAAGCAUAUACUGUUGAUGGUCUGUGACUCUGUUUGCUCUUCAGGAGCAUAAUUUUCCGACUUUAAAUACAGUGGAGAUGAUGAGAUGGCUUAAAGUUCACUUGGUGCUUCAUGUGCCAAAUUAAUUUUUUCGAGUGAAUUCGAAUGCUUUUAAGGGAAGAACUAUUCUUUAAUGAGAUGUGUGCCAAGGAUUCUGUACGAGUCAAUGUUGCUGGUUACCAAUGAGAGUUCUUGUUACUCUUCCGGCAAUGAGUCCCUUCUCUCUCUCUUUCUUUCUCUAUAUAUCUUCUGCUUCUUCUUUUUCGCUAUUUUCAUUUAAACCUUUGCAAUCUGUAUUGUGCUGAAUUAUUAUAAAGGAUGGAUUAGUAACAAAAUCAAAACUAUUUCAUUCUUGUGUUUAAUUAACUUGGAGAUAUUUUAGGACUAUUCAGCCUUUGAUGUAUUAUUGUAGUUUGGACUUUGGAAAUAGACUGUGUGGUUUAGAUUGCCUCUGUUAAUUUGGGUUUUAUUCAUAUUCAUCUUCGUGGACUGAGAUUUAGUGGUUGAUUUACAUUUUCCCCUUCAGUGUCUAGCAAAUGGCGGGCCAGAGAGGCUUUCCAACUCCAGUCUUGGAUACUAAUUCACUUGUUCCCCUUAAGGAUCAAAAUGAAAAACCAAAUCUUCUUAUCGAGGUUACUAAUGUAGGAAAACAGUUGCUGGCAUUUAUCCAUACCAAAGGUAUAAUGCACUCUGAUGUUCAAGCCUUGUACAAAAAAGUUUGUUCUAGUUAUGAGAAAAUCAUCCUUAAUGAUCUUGAAGUGGCAGAACUUCAAGAUGUUGAAUAUUCUUUAUGGAAGCUUCACUAUAGGCAUAUUGAUGAAUUUCGUAAAAGAAUAAAGAAAAGCUCUGCUAAUGAAGAGGUUACAAAAUCCGUGGCAACACAAAGUGUAGCUGCAGCACAGAGAAGCAAUGACAAUCAUCUAGAAGGGUUUAAGUUAUUUCUGUCAGAUGCAACUAGAUUUUAUCAGAAUUUGAUUGUAAAAAUCAAAAGAUAUAAUGGACUUCCAGAAGACUUUUCCUUCUGUGGAAGGGGUGGAAAUGCUGUUUCCGUUGAACCGAAGAAAAUGCAGAAACUGCAAUUCUUAUGCCAUCGAUUUCUAGUUUGUCUUGGGGAUUUUGCUAGGUAUAGAGAGCAAUGUGAAAUGUCAGAUACGCAGAACCAGAACUGGUCAGUUGCAGUCACCCAUUACUUGGAAGCUACAAAGAUUUGGCCACAUAGUGGGAACCCCCAAAAUCAGUUGGCAGUGUUGGCAACAUAUGUUGGUGACGAGUUCCUAGCUUUGUACCACUGCAUAAGAAGUUUGGCAGUUAGGGAGCCUUUCCCUGAUGCAUGGAACAACCUUAUUUUAUUGUUUGAAAGAAACCGGUCAUAUCAUUUACAUUCCCUUUGUAGUGAGGCCCACUUUGAUUUCUUAAAUCCAUCUGAAAGUACUGUCCAGACCAAUUCUCAAUCAACUAAUGAUGCAUCAAAUUGCAAGAUGGUACAAGCACAGGAUGAAGGCUCGAGGGGAAUGCAUUUAUGGCCUCUUUUCAUUAGAACAAUAAGUUUCUUCUUCAUAAAAUCCAGUUUGGAGGACUUCCCUUUUACUUUUGCUUCUACUAUAAAAGAGCUGGACACAUUGAUGGCACUAGACGAUGUACAAUUAAAAGCUGCAAUGGAAUCCUAUCAGCGUAUGGAUUCAGCAAGAAGCGGUCCCUUUCGGAAUCUUCAAGUUGUCUCUGUAUUUAUCUUUGUCAUUGAGAAUCUGAUAAGUAGCCCAGAAGCAAGAGAUUCAAAGAACAAGAAUGAUAUGCAACAGUUUGAGUUGAUACGAGAGGCAUUGACUGCUACAUUCAUUUUCAUGGGACGCCUUGCUGAAAGAUGCUUGAAGGCAAAUGUCUUGGACUCUUGUCCCCUUUUACCAGCUUUACUUGUGUUUUCAGAGUGGCUGGAGAGCAUUCUUGAUGAAGCAGAAGUAUAUGGAUCUAAUGAAAAAAGUACAAGUGCUAUAUCUUAUUUUUUCGGUGUUUAUCUUGAACUUCUGAAGCGAUUUGAUAUUAACAAGGGUGAAGUCAAGCCUCCAUGCAGCAUUGCUCUUUGGGAAGACUAUGAGCUGAGGGGCUUCGCACCAUUAGCUUCUUCUCAUGUGUCAUUAGAUUUUUCAAGCCACUGGGGACAUGCAGACAGUUAUGAAUGUGGCACUGAAUGCCGUGCUCAACGCAUUAUUAAUGCUGCAAUCAAGAUAGCAGAAAGAUCAAAUGGUGAUCGGAAGUGGAUCUGCUAUGAUAAAUCUGGAAGAAAAUUUUAUGUACCAGAGUUGAAUAAAUUUGCAAACAAGAAAGAAACAGAAAAGGUGGAGUCCUGUGGUAAUGUGGAAGUGGGUGAUUCUGAUCAGCAUAUUCACAAAAUGAUGGAGGGAUCUGAGAAGAUUGAGGAGAAACCAAAUAACUCUCAUGUAAUCAGCAAGUCUGUUGCUGUGGAGGAGGAAGAAGUCAUUCUCUUCAAGCCUCUCACAAGAUAUAAUUCUGCACCAAUUUAUAAUGGUAUUGCAGCUAAUGAUCAAACGACUCCAGAAGAUAAAUUGGACCAGAUAGUACCUGCUGAUGAAUGUUUGCGACGUGCGACUUCACUGCUAAUAGCACAAAACCAGGUCCAGGGUGAUUCUUCAGCAUUCCAUUCUGAUCUCACUAAUUUUAGGCGCAACAAGCCAUUGCAACAUCAGGAGCCUCUUGUAAAGGAUGCAGUAGCACACCCAUUUUCAGAAUUCUCUAUUUCUUCUUCUGGGCCUUUCUCUUUCAGCACCUCCAUCUCUGCCGGACCACCCUCACUCAAUGCUUGGGUCCUCAAUAGAGGAAGUUUGAGCAAUGAUAGAGCGAAAGGGCAAAGAGAGAUGAAUAAAAUGCUGCCUAUUGAGGAAAUAGCAUCUGCAUCACUUAAUGAUCUCUUCAUCAGUGAUGCUGAGAAUUCUGUCAUUAGUUUAGGGCAUGAAGCUGUUACCAUGCAUAACUCUUCUCCUGCUUAUUCAGCACCAUUGCCUUCUGCUCCACUCUUGCCUGAUUAUUCUAUUUGGUUUAAUGGCAUUCAAUCUACCUUCUCUGACUACAAUGGCUUGGGAAACAUCAACAGAACAAACAAUUUCUUUGAUGCAUCACAAGUGAGCAGCUAUUCAAAUUGGACAGGUUCUCAGCAGCCACUUGAUUAUGGUCUUGGUAUCCCUGGUUUGGUGGAUGGAUAUCCACCAUUGCGUCGAAUGACUUCAUCUGAAUGGCUUCGUCAAUACAGGGAAAAUCAUAAUCUUGAGCGGACCACAAGUCAAACAUGGCCAGUACAUUCAUAUGCUACUGUGAACUCAGGAAACCUCUAUGGUUAUGAUAUGUCCAGGUCUGGUCUUUUUGAUCAAUUUGGAGCUCCUUUGGCUACUAAUCCAUUGAUUUAUGAGGAGAGCCCACCGUUGCAUUCAGGUUUUCCUCCUGUUUAUGGCAAUGUUGACUACAGAAGGGACAAGCUCUAUCCUGGUUAUCAAAGACCAAGCCCUUAUGGGUGUGGUGCUGUGAAUGAGCCUGAGCCUCUUUUGCAGUAUCUUAAGGAGAAAGAAUGGCUGCUCCAGCAAGAUCCAACCUUGAGAGGUCCUGCAUAUAUGGGAAGUUGAAAUUUUCAUAUGACCAUAGAAUAUGAGCCUUUCACAUGGCUGCACAACUUUCAUUGGAACUUCAUUGCCACAAAAUGCUUAGGAGGCUUUAUUUUUUUUUUUUUUCAGCAUAUAGUAGGCCUUAAAUGGUCAUUUAUGUGGGUUUAUAACUUUAAAUGUCUGUUAAUGGGAUGUGUACAUAUGUUGUCUAAUAGAGUAUUUUCGUUGGAAAGAAGAGCUUAAGGAUGUCUAUAGAAAAAAUUUCUGCCGUUCUAACAUUGUGGAAAUUUUAUCAUGCCUUGUUGAUACGAUACACUUACUUCUUCAUUGUUUUUUAAAUGGCUCUAAAUGGGAAUCGAGCUCGAAACUUCACAACCCUGUAAUUGUCUUCAAUAUUACUAAGUCAAAGCU
rnacentral:misc_RNA from 1 species